UCGAGAAUCUUCCGCAAUGGGCGAAAGCCUGACGGAGCGACGCCGCGUGGAGGACGAAGGCCCUCGGGUUGUAAACUCCUGUCACGGGUGAUGAAUGUGCAUGUGUUAAUAGCGCAUGCAUUGACGUAAGCCCGAAAGGAAGCACCGGCUAACUCCGUGCCAGCAGCCGCGGUAAUACGGAGGGUGCAAACGUUGUUCGGAAUCACUGGGCAUAAAGGGCUCGUAGGCGGCUGUGCAAGUGUGGAGUGAAAUCCCACGGCUCACCCGUGGAACUGCUCUGCAGACUGCACGGCUAGAGGAUGGUAGGGGAGAGCGGAACUCCUGGUGGAGCGGUGAAAUGCGUAGAUAUCAGGAGGAACACCGGUGGCGAAGGCGGCUCUCUGGUCCAUCUCUGACGCUGAGGAGCGAAAGCCAGGGUAGCGAACGGGAUUAGAUACCCCCGUAGUCC
rnacentral:rRNA from 1 species